AAGAACCUUACCAGGCCUUGACAUGCAGAGAACUUUCCAGAGAUGGAUUGGUGCCUUCGGGAACGUCUGACACAGGUGCUGCAUGGCUGUCGUCAGCUCGUGUCGUGAGAUGUUGGGUUAAGUCCCGCAACGAGCGCAACCCUUGCCUUUAGUUGCCAGCAGUUCGGCUGGGCACUCUAAAGGGACUGCCGGUGUUAAACCGGAGGAAGGUGGGGAUGACGUCAAGUCCUCAUGGCCUUUAUGACCAGGGCUACACACGUACUACAAUGGCCGAUACAAAGGGCAGCGACACUGCGAGGUGAAGCCAAUCCCGUAAAAUCGGUCUCAGUCCGGAUUGGAGUCUGCAACUCGACUCCAUGAAGUUGGAAUCGCUAGUAAUCGUGGAUCAGCAUGCCACGGUGAAUACGUCCCCGGGCCUU
rnacentral:rRNA from 1 species